AACGAACGCUGGCGGCAUGCCUAACACAUGCAAGUCGAACGAGACCUUCGGGUCUAGUGGCGCACGGGUGCGUAACGCGUGGGAACCUGCCCUUAGGUUCGGAAUAACUCCCCGAAAGGGGUGCCAAUACCGGAUAAUGUCUUCGGACCAAAGAUUUAUCGCCUUUGGAUGGGCCCGCGUUGGAUUAGCUAGUUGGUAGGGUAAAAGCCUACCAAGGCGACGAUCCAUAGCUGGUCUGAGAGGAUGAUCAGCCACACUGGGACUGAGACACGGCCCAGACUCCUACGGGAGGCAGCAGUGGGGAAUAUUGGACAAUGGGCGAAAGCCUGAUCCAGCAGUGCCGCGUGAGUGAUGAAGGCCUUAGGGUUGUAAAGCUCUUUUACCCGGGAUGAUAAUGACAGUACCGGGAGAAUAAGCUCCGGCUAACUCCGUG
rnacentral:rRNA from 1 species